rnacentral:rRNA from 1 species
GACGAACGCUGGCGGCGUGCUUAACACAUGCAAGUCGAACGGAAAGGCCCUGCUUUUGUGGGGUGCUCGAUUGGCGAUAGGGUGCGUAACACGUUUGUAACCUGCCCUUUUCUUUCGGAUAUCUUCACGAAACUGGGGCUAAUAUCGGAUAGGAUCUCCUGCUGCGUGGUGUGGGUUGGAUAGUUUCGGCGUUUGGAGAUGGACUUGCGGCUUAUCAUCUUGUUGGUGGGGUAGUGGCUUACCAAGCGAUUGACGGGUAGCCGUCCUUAGAAGGUUAACGGGCACAUGGGUACUAAGAGACGGAGCAGACUCCUACGGGAGGCAGCAGGGGGGAAGAUGGCACAAUGGGCGGAAGCCGGAGGCAGAAACGCCGCGGGCGGGAUGACGGCCUUAGGGGUGUAAACCGCUGUCGCCUGUGACGAAGCGGGAGUGACGGUAAUGGGUAAAGAAGCACCGGCUAACUACGUG